rnacentral:misc_RNA from 1 species
GCUCUCCUUACUCCCACCGCCGAUCCCGGCCAUCCAAAUGAAGAACAUCCUCUCGCCCUCGGCGGCGAUCGCCGCCGCCCUCCUCCUCCUCGCGGCGGCGCUGGUGUCGGUCGACGCGAAGGCGAAGGUCUGCGACAAGGGGUGGGAGUGCAGCAAGAGCGAAUUCUGCUGCAACGACACCAUCACCGACUUCUUCCAGACCUACCAGUUCGAGAACCUCUUUUCCAAGCGCAACAGCCCCAUCGCCCACGCCGUCGGCUACUGGGACUACCACUCCUUCAUCACCGCCGCCGCAGUGUACGAGCCACUCGGCUUCGGCACCACGGGUGGCAAGCAGAUGGGGAUGAAGGAGGUCGCCGCCUUCCUCGGCCACGUCGGUAGCAAGACCUCUUGUGGGUAUGGUGUUGCAACCGGUGGUCCACUUGCUUGGGGAUUAUGUUAUAACCAUGAGAUGAGCCCAAGCCAGUCUUACUGCACCCCCAGCUUACGCUAUCCUUGCACCCCCGGUGCUGACUACUAUGGCCGUGGUGCCCUGCCUGUGUACUGGAACGACAAUUAUGGAAUUAUCGGCGAAAACCUCAAGAUCGAUUUGUUGAAUCAUCCGGAGUACCUUGAGCAGAACGCUACCAUGGCUUUCCAAGCAGCUAUCUGGAGGUGGAUGAACCCUAUGAAGAAGAAGCAGCCCUCGUGCCACGAUGUGUUUGUUGGCAACUGGAAGCCCACAAAGAACGACACCGACUCUAAGAGAUUUCCCGGCUUCGGAGCCACCAUGAACUUACUUUACGGCGACAUGGUCUGUGGUCAAGGAUUCUUUGAUGGCAUGAACAACAUCAUAUCCCACUACCAGUACUACCUCGAUCUUAUGGGUAUCGGUCGCGAGCAAUCUGGGGACAAUCUGGACUGUGCUGAACAGGCGGCUUUCAACCCGACUCCUGCACCUGCGGCUUCGUCUUAAGGUAUUUGCUAUCAAAUAAUGGCUAUGGUAUUUGUCGUUCGCCAUGGCUAUGGUAUUUGUUGUUCACCCCGUAUGGCUAUGGUAUUUUGAAUCUACGAAUCUUAGUAGGAUUUGAAGGAUACUGUCAUUGUUUUAUGUAGCAGGUUGGGCUGUGUUCAUAUUACUUUGUUUUGUAGAAGGUCAUUGGUUGAGUUCGGGAGGGGUGAAUGUUUUCAUUUGUAUGAUUAAAGUGUUGAUUAUUAUUAUGGACAUAAACAUGUAAUAAAUUUCGGCUUUGUUUGUG